rnacentral:sRNA from 1 species
CAUAGAGGAACUCAGGCUAAAAACACAUCCUGUGAAAACGACUGAGUGACCAAUAUCGUGUUGG